AACGAACGCUGGCGGCAUGCCUAACACAUGCAAGUCGAACGAGCCCUUCGGGUCUAGUGGCGCACGGGUGCGUAACGCGUGGGAACCUGCCCUUAGGUUCGGAAUAACUCCCCGAAAGGGGUGCUAAUACCGGAUAAUGUCUUCGGACCAAAGAUUUAUCGCCUUUGGAUGGGCCCGCGUUGGAUUAGCUAGUUGGUAGGGUAAAAGCCUACCAAGGCGACGAUCUAUAGCUGGUCUGAGAGGAUGAUCAGCCACACUGGGACUGAGACACGGCCCAGACUCCUACGGGAGGCAGCAGUGGGGAAUAUUGGACAAUGGGCGAAAGCCUGAUCCAGCAAUGCCGCGUGAGUGAUGAAGGCCUUAGGGUUGUAAAGCUCUUUUACCCGGGAUGAUAAUGACAGUACCGGGAGAAUAAGCUCCGGCUAACUCCGUG
rnacentral:rRNA from 1 species